AGGCACUUAGUUUAAGAAAAACCUUUGAUUUCGGCUCAAAAACUUAUGGUUAAAAUCCAUAUUUGCCUA
rnacentral:tRNA from 1 species